rnacentral:piRNA from 2 species
UCUCAAACUAUGGGGGCACUUUUU